CCUUGGGGCACUUUGGGCUAAAUUGGACUUUCUGGAAACAAGGCUGCAUCUGCCAGGAGAUGCCACUUUCAGAUCUGUGGUCUCAGCAUAGCUGACGGGAGCAGGCAGCGCAGCAUCAGCAGUAGUAAACCGUAACAUCCACAAUUUGAAAGUGUCAGGCUACCUGUGAGAUAGAUGCUGUCAUUCCAUGUGAGGAAACUGAGGCUAAGAACAUUUUAAAUGAAGGAGCCCAUGAUGGGACUUUUUAAGAGGGAUAGCUCCCUCUGCAAUUUUUCUGGAUUUUUCCUGAGCAACUGUAGUGGCUCAGUCUUACUUCUUAAUAUAUAUCACCCUGCACAGAAGGACAGGAAUGGUGUUAUUCAACAUUAUAAGGGAGAGAAGAGAGCUACGAUGGAGAUGAAUGGGUCCUUAACUGGCUUACGAAAUUCUUCACUCAAAGCAUCACUGUCAGAUUGGUCUUGUGGAAAAGAAGCUGCCCUUGUUAGCAAACCAAGUUCAAGAGUUUUGGAACUCAUCCUUGCUGAGAGAGAAAUCAAGUAAAGUCAAGAGGCAUUUAUUAAGCACCAGGUUUGGGAGUUCUGGAUUUGAUGGAAAGCAGAGAAGAGGGAACCCAUUGAAAGAGGAAAGAAGAUGUAAGAAAAUGAAGAAAUGACAAGAGGAACUUGUUAGGUUGUGUAUAAAUGGAGAUUUUGAACCUUUGACUUCAUUCCCCAGAAGUCCUUAGUAUUUCCCCAAAUUCCCUAUAAUCUCUCCUGUGUCUCCAUGUUGGCAAGAUCAUGUUAUUGGUAUUUAACUGGAUAAGACUCCUCCUAUGCUCUCUCUUUUUUUAAUGUGACCAGGCAGAGUUCAGGUAUUUCCUUUUACUUAGUUAUUACUAAUAAAUCUUUUAAAAUAAAAUACUUAGCUAUUGAU
rnacentral:lncRNA from 1 species